rnacentral:misc_RNA from 1 species
GCAACCCUUGUCUUUCUCUGCAAUUCUGGAUCCUUAAAACUCCAGCUUUUAGAAGUAGACCCAAUAUUGGUUUUGGAUUUCUUCAUCUUUACUUCUUUGUUUGAUUGAUUUUGCUGCUGCUGCUGCUGCAUAGAACUUGCAUAGCUGACACUGUAAGACCUUAGAUCUUGCAUAUUUGUUGGGGCAGCUUUGUUCUCAUGGUAGCUUUCAAUCUGCAUUCUGCCCUCUCUGCAGGAUUUGGAUCUGAAAUCCUCCAUUACCCAAACUCCAAA